UCUCUCGUAGUACAAUGGAAAAAGUACACACACCGAAUAUUUGUUAUAUCGUUAGGACGGUUAGGGCAACGCGUGGGAUCUGGGUUCGAGUCCCAGCGAGAGAA